GCCCUGGUUGCUCAAUGGUUAAGCACUUGAUUGCAAAUCAAAAGGUUGGUGGUUCAAGCCCACCCAGUGGUU
rnacentral:tRNA from 1 species